rnacentral:rRNA from 1 species
AUGAACGCUAGCUACAGGCUUAACACAUGCAAGUCGAGGGGCAGCAUUUUAGUUUGCUUGCAAACUGAAGAUGGCGACCGGCGCACGGGUGAGUAACACGUAUCCAACCUGCCGAUAACUCCGGAAUAGCCUUUCGAAAGAAAGAUUAAUACCGGAUGGCAUACGAAUAUCGCAUGAUAUUUUUAUUAAAGAAUUUCGGUUAUCGAUGGGGAUGCGUUCCAUUAGUUUGUUGGCGGGGUAACGGCCCACCAAGACUACGAUGGAUAGGGGUUCUGAGAGGAAGGUCCCCCACAUUGGAACUGAGACACGGUCCAAACUCCUACGGGAGGCAGCAGUGAGGAAUAUUGGUCAAUGGGCGCGAGCCUGAACCAGCCAAGUAGCGUGAAGGAUGAAGGCUCUAUGGGUCGUAAACUUCUUUUAUAUGGGAAUAAAGUUUUCCACGUGUGGAAUUUUGUAUGUACCAUAUGAAUAAGGAUCGGCUAACUCCGUGCCAGCAGCCGCGGUAAUACGGAGGAUCCGAGCGUUAUCCGGAUUUAUUGGGUUUAAAGGGAGCGUAGGUGGAUUGUUAAGUCAGUUGUGAAAGUUUGCGGCUCAACCGUAAAAUUGCAGUUGAAACUGGCAGUCUUGAGUACAGUAGAGGUGGGCGGAAUUCGUGGUGUAGCGGUGAAAUGCUUAGAUAUCACGAAGAACUCCGAUUGCGAAGGCAGCUCACUAGACUGUCACUGACACUGAUGCUCGAAAGUGUGGGUAUCAAACAGGAUUAGAUACCCUGGUAGUCCACACAGUAAACGAUGAAUACUCGCUGUUUGCGAUAUACAGUAAGCGGCCAAGCGAAAGCAUUAAGUAUUCCACCUGGGGAGUACGCCGGCAACGGUGAAACUCAAAGGAAUUGACGGGGGCCCGCACAAGCGGAGGAACAUGUGGUUUAAUUCGAUGAUACGCGAGGAACCUUACCCGGGCUUAAAUUGCAACAGAAUAUAUUGGAAACAGUAUAGCCGUAAGGCUGUUGUGAAGGUGCUGCAUGGUUGUCGUCAGCUCGUGCCGUGAGGUGUCGGCUUAAGUGCCAUAACGAGCGCAACCCUUAUCUUUAGUUACUAACAGGUCAUGCUGAGGACUCUAGAGAGACUGCCGUCGUAAGAUGUGAGGAAGGUGGGGAUGACGUCAAAUCAGCACGGCCCUUACGUCCGGGGCUACACACGUGUUACAAUGGGGGGUACAGAAGGCGGCUACCUGGUGACAGGAUGCUAAUCCCAAAAACCUCUCUCAGUUCGGAUCGAAGUCUGCAACCCGACUUCGUGAAGCUGGAUUCGCUAGUAAUCGCGCAUCAGCCAUGGCGCGGUGAAUACGUUCCCGGGCCUUGUACACACCGCCCGUCAAGCCAUGGGAGCCGGGGGUACCUGAAGUGCGUAACCGCGAGGAGCGCCCUAGGGUAAAACUGGUGACUGGGGCU